rnacentral:lncRNA from 1 species
AUUUCUUUAGGUUUAGUUAAAAUAUUAUUCAUCUACCACCUGCAGGGAAAAAUUUUUAUUAACCGAUAUUUCAAGUACAUAAGAACGUGCUUUGUUAUCUUUAGAAAUGGAUGAUUUAAAAAGCAAAAGCGCUUUACUUUGCUUUUAGUGCUUGCUUCAUUGUAACAUUGUUUCUUCUUAACUCAACAAGGAAAUUCAUGGUCAUUCAUUUCACUCAAGUUUUUUUUAAGCCCUUGAUGUUGGCCGAUAUAUUUUAUCGGUCUGUCAUAGUUACUAUUUUGAUUCGCUUGCAAAUUCACGAAAGAAAGCUUACGGCCUGAAGAAUUUAACUCCCGGCUUUGGAGACCAAGAAAAAAAUCUUUUUGACUGAGUCGAAAUUGUGAAUAUUUUAGUUUUCGUUCUGCCGGCCGGGCCGUGAUCAUAAUGUCCCCGAUUUGAUGAUUUUCUUAAUUCUCAUUACCUAUCUGCUUGAAAAUGUAUCGAGUUGUAGGGAGAAUUUAGAUAUGAAUCAUUCUUGACGCUUAAAGCUUUUCGAAAUGAAACAAGCGACGAGCAUAAGAUCCGGAAAGAUCAGAGAAAACUAGUCUGGUACAAACGCAAUUUAAUUGACGAGGCAAGUGUAUUUUGAGGCCAAUACCAGCCUUUUUUAUUAUCUAAACAUCAUUAGACAUCAGAUACUAAAUAUGAUCAGCCGUACUUUGAACUGAAACCGCCUUUCACCACAACUCUACAAUUUAACUUCCCGUCUAAGGUCUAAUUCAAAACACCUCCUGUUAAUUAUGCACAUAAUUAUGGCUUAAGCCGGUAUCCAUUUAUAUUAGUUUCGAGUGCAAUCACUUCCUUGACGCUCGCAAGCAUUACUGAGAAAGAAGCCCACAACUCGACUAGGAAAACACAAGCUUUAUGACGUAUAACGAGUCUAAAAUCGUAGAUAUCGUUUUACAACCUGCGACAUACUGAAAAAAGGUUUUGACUAUGGACGAGUUACAGAGAUCCCGGAACGUAGACUCACUUGCACGCUCAGUUUGCUAGGCCUUUGGUCAAAAUUUUAAGGAUGUGAAGAAAUGGCCAAAUAGCCAUAGAAGAGUGAGGCCUUACGGUGCAAAACAAGAAAAGUGCAAAGCAUAUUGUCUGUGUGAAAGUUUGAGACAUCUCGGAACCGUCACCUGUCCAGCUGACGGUAAAAUAACAGCGACGAAGGCAAGAAAACAAGGGACCAAGCCUCGAGAAGAAUUAGAAAUUAGCAUGGUGUGUGACCCUAAAAGAAGAAGACUUGACAAUACUGGUACUUUCCUUACGGCACUGUAUCUUUGCAGUUAUGUUGUACAAGGAAGCUCUGCCUCUUCAGUGAAAGCUGCACAAAGCACAAAAACUAUCAGGUAAGGAUUGACCAAAACAUUUUAGCUUUGGACUUCUUGUGAUAUUACCUUUUAAAAGCUAUUUUUACUCUGAAAAUAACCCUCUCUCCCUUCGUCCCUUCAGCAGUCUUCAGCAGCCCUCUACUAGUUAACAUCUAUACUAUAUAACAAACAGUGUAGUCACCCCUUACUAAAGAUUAAUAUCGGAAAGCCACAAAAAAAUGUCUAUUAUAUUUAGGAGAUUGCAUUGGGAAACACAUGGAAGUUGCAAGGAUCCCAGGUGUGGGUCAGGGAACCAGCAUUAUUAAGUUGCGAUGAGUGCCGUGCAUGUCAGAUUUGCCUGUCCCCACCCAUGGGGGUAAAUUUUCAAACCACUGCAAACAAAUCCUGGCAGGUAAAUCUGCAAAGACCCAGCUUCCUUUAUGUGCUGAAGGGAAGAAGCAAUCCUGAGGGCUUCUUCACCCUACAGAAAUCAUGAUAAGUUCUAGUUGAAAGAGUAAAUUUUACCUGGCUACAGCAUGCAAUCAAAGGGGAUAAACAAAGUUAUCACUGGCAUGCAUCCUUUAGUUCUGCUUACAGUAACUGUCAAAUGCAAGUUGACACUUGAUACUUACACCUAAUCAUACCAUUCUGGUAGGCAAAUCAGGUGAGUUUGGUACCCAUGGCGUGACCGAACCAGCCUAAUGUGCUGCCAAGCAUACCAGAAAGGUACAAUAAGGUAUUUACAGUGUACCAUAUCCAGAUUCGGCCAAGGGACAAUAUUGCAGCCAUAUCAGGUCAGUGGCUUGAUAUCACAGGAUAUCAGGACAGCAGACACAGCUUUUGAUUGGUUAAUUGUGAAUUUGGGUACCAUAAUCGUGAGAAUCAAGUACUGAGUAAUGGAACGAGUAUCAAGACUCAAUUCACUCAAAAUGCGACUCGAUUCUUGACACUCGAUUCACACAACAGUGCUAAUCUUA